UACGUAGGGGGCAAGCGUUGUCCGGAUUCAUUGGGCGUAAAGCGCGUGUAGGCGGCCACGUAAGUCCGCUCUGAAAGCCCGGGGCUCAACCCCGGGAGGCGGGUGGAUACUGCGUGGCUCGAGUCCGGAAGAGGCGAGUGGAAUUCCCGGUGUAGCGGUGAAAUGCGCAGAUAUCGGGAGGAACACCAAUGGCGAAGGCAGCUCGCUGGGACGUGACUGACGCUGAGACGCGAAAGCGUGGGGAGCAAACAGG
rnacentral:rRNA from 1 species